CUUUCUUACCAAGCUGGAAAAGUCCAAAAGCCAUAAACGACAAUUUAACUAAGCACACGUCCACUGAGUUUAAGUAGAUUUAAAAGUAUUGUUUUUUGUUUUUUCCAGGAGUCAUGAUGUCCGUGCUCAAUAUGAAUAAUUCUGGCUCAGAAGCUGCUGAAACUUAUUCUGUGAUCAGCUCAGUACCCUUACCGGCCCUGCCUUUCGGUCGACACGUAUCAUGUGUACAGCUCCAUCCCUGACACACACGUGACCACCAAUGACGCAGUGUACAGCCUGCUGCAGAUGCACUGAUGUAUAUUACACCUUAAUGAAUGUAAAUAGUUAUUUACAGUAUUAUUCUUAUGCCUGUUAUGCCUUAACAUGUGCUUUAAUUGAAUAGCUUGCUUUUGGAUUUGAAAUGAAUUGGACUGCUGCUGGCUUGUAACUGCGAUGUCACUGAAUGGAGCUCAAGACUGAGUCCAGAUUAAUAAAGAGCUGAUGGUUUUACAGUUGCUUCAUGAAUAAGUUUUUUACAGUUGCUUCAUGAAUAAGUAACUUUAUUACUAUUGUUUUUUUUAAAUUAUUAUUUUACACUCCUACAGCAGUUUCUGAAUCUUGCUUUUUUCCAUCCACAGCCUUUCUUCAAA
ensembl:lncRNA